UACGGAGGGUGCAAACGUUGCUCGGAAUCAUUGGGCGUAAAGCGCACGUAGGCGGCCUGAUAAGUCGGGUGUGAAAGCCCUGGGCUCAACCCAGGAAGUGCACUCGAAACUGUCAGGCUUGAAUAUGGAAGAGGGUCGCGGAAUUCCCGGUGUAGAGGUGAAAUUCGUAGAUAUCGGGAGGAACACCAGUGGCGAAGGCGGCGACCUGGGCCAAUAUUGACGCUGAGGCUGCGAAAGCGUGGGGAGCGAA
rnacentral:rRNA from 1 species